CACAAAAGUAGCCUGUGGCUGCCAUGCUAACCUCUGGGAUAUUUUUUCUUCUGUGCCAGUAAUGAUUCGUUAGAAUGAACUAAACUGAUGCAAGUUCCCAGCAGGACUAGACGCUUUUCCUGAUGAGGCAGAAAUGAGAUGUGAACCCUCUGUCAGCUGUGUGGAAGGGCUGGGCUUCAAGCAAGAUUUAGGUAUUAGGGAGUGUUGGACAAUGUUGGUUCCCAACAGGGAAUUUGAGAUCCUUAUUGCUUGGAUGUUUUUCCUAGGACCUCUAAGCAAAAUUGUUACGGACAGAAAUAAUCACAUUGUGAUAUAAAGUCACAGUAAGUGAACAGAAUACUGACCACUACUGAGAAUAACCUGAAUUUAUUUCUGGACUCACUCCCUACCAAAUAGG
rnacentral:lncRNA from 1 species